rnacentral:lncRNA from 1 species
UUCUCAUAAGCUUUUGCUGAACCAUCAAUUUUUUCACAAUUUUAAAUUUCGAAACUAAUGCAUCUUGCUGUAGCAUAUUCACAUGAUCUAAUUCCAUCCCCCAGAGGUAAUCACUACUGUCAGCAGUUUUGUUUCUUCCUGACAUUUUUCUGUGCAUAAGUAAGCAAACAUGAUGACAGGGUAGGUUUCAUUGUUAUUUAUUAUUAAAAUGAGAUCAUAUAGUACAUAGUUUUUCAUUUAUUUUUUCACUUUAUUCGUAGGCAUUUUUCAAAGUCAAAAAACUAUGUGGGUCUACCUAAUUAAUGUUUUUAAAAAGAUAUUUUUAAAAUUCACAGAUGAUAGCUGUUCAGACAGAUUUGCUAAAUCAUGACCAUACCAUCUAUAUACUGCAUAUUGAAUUUGUGCACGUACUGCUAUGAAAGUUAACUAUAAUUGACAUGUGAAUGUUUGUCAUUUUGUACAGCUGAUUUUGGUGACUUUGAUCAGUAUGAAUCCCAAGACUUUCUGCAGAAAUUUGCCUUGUUUCCUGUGGGGUGGUUACAAGAUGAAAAAGUAUUGGAAGAAGCAACACAAAAAGUGGCUUUACUACAUCAGAAAUACAGGUAAAUACUAAGAAAUGGAAAUGGCGUAGAACUAAUGCCUGUUUGAAUUUGAAAUAUGCGUUGAUGCAGUUGAAUUCAGAACUUCAGGCUGCUGCUA